AGAUUGAACGCUGGCGGCAUGCCUAACACAUGCAAGUCGAACGGGAGUAGCAAUACUCUAGUGGCGGACGGGUGAGGAAUACGUAGGAAUUUGCCCUUAAGUGGGGGAUAACCCGGGGAAACCCGGAUUAAUACCGCAUGGCCUCGAAAGAGCAAAGUGGGGGAUCGCAAGACCUCACGCUUUUGGAGAAGCCUACGUCGGAUUAGCUAGUUGGUGAGGUAAUGGCUCACCAAGGCGACGAUCCGUAACUGGUCUGAGAGGAUGAUCAGUCACACCGGAACUGAGACACGGUCCGGACUCCUACGGGAGGCAGCAGUGGGGAAUAUGGACAAUGGGCGCAAGCCUGAUCCAGCAAUGCCGCGUGUGUGAAGAAGGCCUUCGGUUGUAAAGGCUACGUUUAAGUUGGGAAGAAAAAACUCGACUCUAACACAGUAGAGUCUUGACGUACCGACAGAAUAAGACACCGGCUAAACUCUAGUCGCCACGCACGCCCGCGGUAAACUCGUAGAGCGGGCGUCGGACCG
rnacentral:rRNA from 1 species